rnacentral:rRNA from 1 species
GAUGAACGCUGGCGGCGUGCCUAAUACAUACAAGUCGAGCGAACAGACGAGGAGCUUGCUCCUCUGACGUUAGCGGCGGACGGGUGAGUAACACGUGGAUAACCUACCUAUAAGACUGGGAUAACUUCGGGAAACCGGAGCUAAUACCGGAUAAUAUAUUGAACCGCAUGGUUCAAUAGUGAAAGACGGUUUUGCUGUCACUUAUAGAUGGAUCCGCGCCGCAUUAGCUAGUUGGUAAGGUAACGGCUUACCAAGGCAACGAUGCGUAGCCGACCUGAGAGGGUGAGCGGCCACACUGGAACUGAGACACGGUCCAGACUUCUACGGGAGGCAGCAGUAGGGAAUCUUCCGCAAUGGGCGAAAGCCUGACGGAGCAACGCCGCGUGAGUGAUGAAGGUCUUCGGAUCGUAAAACUCUGUUAUUAGGGAAGAACAAAUGUGUAAGUAACUAUGCACGUCCUGACGGUACCUAAUCAGAAAGCCACGGCUAACUACGUG